AUCCUACGGGACGCAGCAGUGGGGAAUAUUGCGCAAUGGGGGAAACCCUGACGCAGCAACGCCGCGUGAGUGAAGAAGGCCUUCGGGUUGUAAAGCUCUUUAAUCAGGGACGAAGAAUGACGGUACCUGAAGAAUAAGCUCCGGCUAACUACGUGCCAGCAGCCGCGGUAAUACGUAGGGAGCAAGCGUUGUUCGGAAUGACUGGGCGUAAAGGGUGCGUAGGCGGCCGUACAAGUUAGAAGUGAAAUACCCAGGGCUUAAAUCGGGUGCUGCUUCUAAAACUGUAUGACUUGAGUGCGGUAGGG
rnacentral:rRNA from 1 species